rnacentral:rRNA from 1 species
GCCAGUUCAUGCUUUUACAGUAUGAAAAUUGGUGAUUUAUAAUAACUUAGCAAAUCGCAAAGUGAAAACAGGCGAUAAAUCAUUCAAGUUUCUGACCUAUCAGCUUUCGACGGUAUGGUAUUGGCUUACCGUGGCAGUGACGGUUAACGGGGGAUUAGGGUUCGAUUCCGGAGAGGGAGCCUGAGAAACGGCUACCACAUCUAAGGAAGGCAGCAGGCGCGCAAAUUACCCAAUUCUAACAGUUUGAGAGAGGUAGUAACAAGAAAUAACAAUACAAGGCAGUUAAAAUGCUUUGUAAUUGGAAUGAUAGAAAUUUAAACCCUUUUUAAAGUAUCAAUUGGAGGGCAAGUCUGGUGCCAGCAGCCGCGGUAAUUCCAGCUCCAAUAGCGUAUAUUAAAAUUGUUGCAGUUAAAAAGCUCGUAGUUGAAGUUCUGCUGAAAGUAACCGGUCUGCUUUUAAUAAAAGUGGUAUCUUGGUAUGUAUUUAGCAAUGAUGUCCUUUGAAGUGUUUUUUACUUUAUUGUAAUAAAGCAUAUUCAGGACUUUUACUUUGAGAAAAUUAGAGUGUUUCUAGCAGGCUGACGCUUUGAAUACUGCAGCAUGGAAUAGA